AUUGAACGCUGGCGGCAGGCCUAACACAUGCAAGUCGAGCGGAUGAAGGGAGCUUGCUCCUGGAUUCAGCGGCGGACGGGUGAGUAAUGCCUAGGAAUCUGCCUGGUAGUGGGGGAUAACGUCCGGAAACGGGCGCUAAUACCGCAUACGUCCUGAGGGGCAAGUGGGGGAUCUUCGGACCUCACGCUAUCAGAUGAGCCUAGGUCGGAUUAGCUAGUUGGUGGGGUAAAGGCCUACCAAGGCGACGAUCCGUAACUGGUCUGAGAGGAUGAUCAGUCACACUGGAACUGAGACACGGUCCAGACUCCUACGGGAGGCAGCAGUGGGGAAUAUUGGACAAUGGGCGAAAGCCUGAUCCAGCCAUGCCGCGUGUGUGAAGAAGGUCUUCGGAUUGUAAAGCACUUUAAGUUGGGAGGAAGGGCAGUAAGUUAAUACCUUGCUGUUUUGACGUUACCAACAGAAUAAGCACCGGCUAACUUCGUG
rnacentral:rRNA from 1 species